GACGAACGCUGGCGGCGUGCUUAACACAUGCAAGUCGAACGGACCUUCGGGUUAGUGGCGAACGGGUGAGUAACACGUGGGUGAUCUGCCCUGCACUUUGGGAUAGGCCUGGGAAACUGGGUCUAAUACCGGAUAGGACUACGCACUGCAUGGUGUGUGGUGGAAAGCUUUUGCGGUGUGGGAUGGGCCCGCGGCCUAUCAGCUUGUUGGUGGGGUGAUGGCCUACCAAGGCGACGACGGGUAGCCGGCCUGAGAGGGUGACCGGCCACACUGGGACUGAGAUACGGCCCAGACUCCUACGGGAGGCAGCAGUGGGGAAUAUUGCACAAUGGGCGCAAGCCUGAUGCAGCGACGCCGCGUGAGGGAUGACGGCCUUCGGGUUGUAAACCUCUUUCGCCAGGGACGAAGCGCAAGUGACGGUACCUGGAGAAGAAGGACCGGCCAACUACGUGCCAGCAGCCGCGGUAAUACGUAGGGUCCGAGCGUUGUCCGGAAUUACUGGGCGUAAAGAGCUCGUAGGUGGUUUGUCGCGUUGUUCGUGAAAACUCACAGCUUAACUGUGGGCGUGCGGGCGAUACGGGCAGACUGGAGUACUGCAGGGGAGACUGGAAUUCCUGGUGUAGCGGUGGAAUGCGCAGAUAUCAGGAGGAACACCGGUGGCGAAGGCGGGUCUCUGGGCAGUAACUGACGCUGAGGAGCGAAAGCGUGGGGAGCGAACAGGAUUAGAUACCCUGGUAGUCCACGCCGUAAACGGUGGGUACUAGGUGUGGGUUUCCUUCCUUGGGAUCCGUGCCGUAGCUAACGCAUUAAGUACCCCGCCUGGGGAGUACGGCCGCAAGGCUAAAACUCAAAGGAAUUGACGGGGGCCCGCACAAGCGGCGGAGCAUGUGGAUUAAUUCGAUGCAACGCGAAGAACCUUACCUGGGUUUGACAUGCACAGGACGUGCCUAGAGAUAGGUAUUCCCUUGUGGCCUGUGUACAGGUGGUGCAUGGCUGUCGUCAGCUCGUGUCGUGAGAUGUUGGGUUAAGUCCCGCAACGAGCGCAACCCUUGUCUCAUGUUGCCAGCACGUUAUGGUGGGGGCUCGUGAGAGACUGCCGGGGUCAACUCGGAGGAAGGUGGGGAUGACGUCAAGUCAUCAUGCCCCUUAUGUCCAGGGCUUCACACAUGCUACAAUGGCCGGUACAAAGGGCUGCGAUGCCGUGAGGUGGAGCGAAUCCUUUCAAAGCCGGUCGCAGUUCGGAUCGGGGUCUGCAACUCGACCCCGUGAAGUCGGAGUCGCUAGUAAUCGCAGAUCAGCAACGCUGCGGUGAAUACGUUCCCGGGCCU
rnacentral:rRNA from 1 species